rnacentral:lncRNA from 1 species
AAUAGUAAAUAUUUUAGAGCUAGGUUGGUAUACUAUCGGUAGCACGAAGGCCUCCGUGUUACCAAGUUGUUUUCAAUAAUCCGGCUUCUAAAUCGACGAUCGACUCCGUUAGACUUGAUCUACACUAUUGAAAGUAUUUGGAAACUAAAUUUCAUAAUUUUUCGGCAUCAUUUACCUAUCAAACGAGUAGCCUAAAAAUGAACGGCUGAAAAUAAAAAUCUCAUAAAAAAUGAUGAUAAAAGAUUUAAAUUUAAGAUCAGAGGUACUGAUCUUAUUCUAAAUAGUGAAANAAACUAAAUUUCAUAAUUUUUUGGUAUCAUUUACCUAUCAAACGAGUAGUCUAAAAAUGAACGGCUGAAAAUAAAAAUCUCAUAAAAAAUGAUGAUAAAAGAUUUAAAUUUAAGAUCAGAGGUACUGAUCUUAUUCUAAAUAGUGAAAAGAAUUUUCUAUAAAAAUUUCAUCGGAUUUGAAUUUUCUUACACCGUUAAAUUCACAAACAUAUUACAUCGACCAUUAAAAUUGUCAAUUUUGAGACCUUUUAAUCACUAACCAAAUGAUACUGGAAUGGAGUGAAAAAUUAUUUUU